rnacentral:rRNA from 1 species
AUACGGAGGGGGCUAGCGUUGUUCGGAAUUACUGGGCGUAAAGCGCGCGUAGGCGGCUUAUCAAGUUAGGCGUGAAAGGCCUGGGCUCAACCCGGGAACUGCGCUUAAUACUGGUAGACUUGAGUCCGGGAGAGGGUGGCGGAAUUCCCAGUGUAGAGGUGAAAUUCGUAGAUAUUGGGAAGAACACCAGUGGCGAAGGCGGCCACCUGGCCCGGUACUGACGCUGAGGUGCGAAAGCGUGGGGAGCAAACAGGAUUAGAUACCCCGGUAGUCC